rnacentral:tRNA from 1 species
GGGGCAUAGUUCAGUGGUAGACCACUUGCCUAGCAUGUAAGAAGCCCUGGGUUUGAUCCCCAGCACCACCA